rnacentral:rRNA from 1 species
AUGAAUGAAAUGUUGGUUCUAAACAAAGAGGCACAUGAUUGGCUAGAGGAGUUAGACCCUCCAACAUGGGUUAGGGCAUUUCAAAAUGAAUUUCCUAAGUGUAAUGUCUUGUUGAACAAUAACUGUGAGGUGUUCAACAAGUACAUAUUGGAUGCAAGAGAAAUGCCCAUAAUCAGCAUGUGCCAAAGGAUUAAAGGACAAUUGAUGGGAAGAAAUCAUAGCAAGCUACAAGAGGCCUUGAAGUGGCCUGGUACUAUAUGUCCCAAAAUAAGGAAGAAAUUGGACAAAAAUGUGGAAUUUGCUAGAACUUGCUAUGCUUCACCAGCUGGAUUGGGAAUCUUUAAUGUGAACGAUAGAGGUGUAGACUACGGGGUUGAUUACCAGUUGAGGAAGUGA